AUUCAACUGAUGAGUCCCGAAUAAAAUGAAACGCGCGUUCUGGAU
rnacentral:hammerhead_ribozyme from 1 species